rnacentral:rRNA from 1 species
UACAGAGGGGGCAAGCGUUGUUCGGAAUUACUGGGCGUAAAGGGCGCGUAGGUGGCCUUCUAAGUUGAACGUGAAAUCCCUGGGCUCAACCCAGGAACUGCGUCCAAGACUGGGAGGCUUGAAUCCGGGAGAGGGAUGCGGAAUUCCAGGUGUAGCGGUGAAAUGCGUAGAUAUCUGGAGGAACACCGGUGGCGAAGGCAGCCCCCUGGGAUAACACUGACGCUCAUGCACGAAAGCGUGGGGAGCAAACAGG